rnacentral:misc_RNA from 1 species
UAGACAAUAGGCCUUACUAGAACUUAGUUUUUCAAGUUGUACUUACUAUGAUAAUAAUUUCUAAAUAUGUAGCCUUAAAGGGCAACAUGGACUAAAUGUUCAUCAAUUUAAUUUCAGAAGUUUUCUUCUAAGUUUUGGUGUGCCAAACUUAUUGGCUUAGCCCGUGCUAAGCCGUUUUUCGAUUCUCACGAUGUGCUUAAAUAUUUUGCUACCCACUGCGUCACUCCUUUAUACCCUAAAUUCUUUCUACCUAAGUUUCCAGCAAACAAUUAUUCUUAUUUUCUAAUCUGAUUUCCCCGAUUUUUAACUUUUUCUUCUCCUUUUUGCUAUGCCAACUCCAUCCUACAACAAGGUUGCGAGGUAAAAUCAUGCCAGCUACUCAAAACAUUCCGCAUUGGUUCCGUUGAAUAUAUAUGGAUUUCAAAUGAUGUAUUUGAAUUUGAAAUCAUAUCGACUUUUACGAUUUUCUACUUGAAACAGAAAUCAAUUUCAAAUUCACGUCCAAUCAAAACGACACUAAGAGAAAUACCAAUAAUGAAUCCUAGAUUUAGGAUUCGUUUCGCAUGCUUUGCAAUUGCUUUUUCCAAAGAAAACUUGCCGUCAGUAGUCAACCAAACUACUGGCUUUUAGAAUAACCCAGCUGCCAAGUAUCUUUAUUAGUCCCCAAACUCCUAAUUGAACUUCAAAGUCAUUAAGAUUCAGUUCACGAAAUUUUAGCUACUUCACACCAGUAUUCUUCUG